rnacentral:rRNA from 2 species
GGGUCCGGACACACUGAGGAUUGACAGACAGUUGUCUUUCCCUCCCUUCGGGGUGGGAUUACAAAAGAUAACAGAUCUUUCAUGAUCAUGUGAUGGGUGGUGCAUGGCCGUUCUUAGUUCGUGGAGUGAUCUGUCUGCUUAAUUGCGUUUCAAAUUUUAUAUUUGUUAACAUGCGAGUCUUCAAUGACGGCCGCUCCACCUUAUAGACAUUAUAUGAUAUGCACAUUUGUGUAUUUGAUUAUAACUUGUCUGGAGUCUGGCUCGAUUUUUUUGACUCAAUUGAACGCAACGGACGUGAUUGCAAGUCCUUGUUGAACAAAUUAUAUAUAUACUACUUCAUCAUUAGUAUAUAUAGUUCGCUUCUCAUGUCGUAGCAGUCAAACGGGCGGGCGUCUUAAUUGGCGCGGUCACGAGGCUUAAUAUGCUGCGGCAGGGAAAACUUGGGCGACCGCUGUAAUACUUCUCUCUUAAACCAGAGGAAGAUUGCGGCAAUAACAGGUCUGUGAUGCCCUCAGAUGUCCCGGGCCGCACACGUGCUACAUUGAUUAGCGCAGUGCGCAUACUUACAUAUAGAUCAUUGAUUGGUUAUUUAUAACCGUCAAUAUCGCCUUGUCUGAAAGGACUAGG